UUGUUGUUCAGUUGCAGACUUUGCUCCUGUGUUGUCUUUGUGAAGGAAGAAAUACUGUUUUCAGUGUUGGGUACUGCUUGCUUUAAUUAUUUUGGCUUAAGAGAGAGGGCUAAGUCUAUGGUAAAAAACCCAAAAAUCUCUUCUGGAAACUAUCCUUCUAUUUUGGAGGAUCGUGAAGGCUCUGAGAAGUCCUGCAUUAAAGAAACCUAUUUAAAUUCUUAUAUGUGGAAUAUUCCCAAAAUGAUUUGAUCACUAAAACCAUUUUUUUCCAGUUAUACCUAUUAACAUCCUGUGGAUCCACUGCUCUGCAAACCCAGCAAACACACUUUAGGAAAUUCUGAUCAGCUGAUGUAGCCAUGGUCUUGAACAUAGAAAUGUGUAUCUGAAUCCUUGUUCUAUACUUUCUGGCUCUGUGUCUGUGGUAUAGCACUGAACGUGACUCUCUCCUAUCAAUUAAAACUCAGCUUGGAUGUUAUCAGCUCCAGGACCAUCAGCCCCCAGAUAACUGGCAGAUCUCAAAGUCUAAAGGGAAGCUGGAACCAGGACCAAUUGCAGUAACUGAUUGUAUACACUGACAGAACCUGGAAGCCGCUCUUGCCACCAAAGGUAAGCAAGCAGCUUUGCACAAAUCAGUCUUUCCUGUUGAGCCAAGACCAUUUCAAGAAAAAGUCUGGAGGAGUGACCUCCGCACACCUUGGAAGGGGGAGUCAGUAAGACAGUGCGACGCUGACCACAAAGCAGAAUCCAAGGAGCCAUUCUUGAAAGUGAAUCAUGAAUUUUUAUUCCACAGCUAAA